GACCCUCAAAAACUAGCCCCUGAACUGAAUUAAACCUGACCCAAAGUGAACAGCAAGGUCCAGAAACGGCAAGGCUUGAGUCAGCCUCCGUCCCCGGACACUUUGAAGGACCGCAGAUCCCUGACCCCUUGGUGGCCCGCGAGGAUCGCGGGUGCGCGCGGUGGGCAGGGAUGCGGCGUCUCCGGCCGCUGGAAGGGAAGGGGCGCGCUGACACCGCGCACCUGCACCCCCGGUGGAGGAGCCGAGGGCACACGACGAUGCCAAUCCCUCGUGAAUCCCGCGAAGGAGGGGCCAGGGGGCUCCGGAUUCAUAGACGCGGGGCGUAGAAGGGGGUCAGGUAGGAAGGCCCAAGGAACGGUGCGAAAGGGCUCCCGGGGGCGGCAGCCGUCAGCGGGAAGGAGGCGGCGGACGGGAAGAGGACGUUGGCCGCGGAGUAGGAGGGGAAAGUCUGGAAGUGCAGAGCUCCGGUGCCGGGAGGGCCAGGACUGGCCCCCGAGCCGCCGCCGCCGCCGCCCCCCGCCGCCCCCGGCUGGGGCGCGCCACCCCCCACCUGCGCCGCGCCGUCGGCACCCGGGUUCUGCUUCUUCCACUUGGUCCUGCGAUUCUGGAACCAGAUUUUGACCUGCGUCUCGGUGAGGCUGAGCGACAGCGCGAGGUUCAGGCGCUCGCACACGGACAGGUAGCGCGUGGCCCGGAACUUGUUCUCCAAGGCCACCAGCUGCUCGUAGGUGAAGGCGGUGCGCGCGCGCCGCGGCUUGGCGCAGUUGGGCUCCACGCGCCGGCGCCUGGGCCGCGGGGAGCCGGGGGAGUCCGGGGGGGACCCUACAGGGCCGCCUCCGCCGUCCUCGCAGGGCUCCCCAGACGCCAGUGCCCCGGCCGGGGCGUCAGGUGAGCGCGCUGGCCCCGGCAGCAAGCGCGCAGCCCGCUCCCGCAGCCGCGGCCUCCUCGGAUCCUCCGCAUCCUCCUCCUCUUCCGCCUCGGAACCCUCCAAGGGGGACGCCUGCCCGGCGCCUGGGCCCGCAGCAUCUAGGGGAGAAGGGGUCGGUGAACAGAAGCCUCUCCAGGUCCCCAAACCUCCUCCUCGUCCUUCCUAGAGCAAGCAGCUCUCCCCCCAACCCAACUCCGGGUGCUGCUCCUGUCCCCACAUCGCGCUUCCCUCAGGCCGGACGGCACAUCCUCGCCAGCGGGUUUAGGGGAAUGGUGUCCUCUUGCCCUUUACAAUCUGCCAUCAAGUAGGCGUCCAAGAAAUGUAUGCUAAAUGAAUGAAUGACACCCCGCAUUAAGAAAAAAUAGUGACCUUAUUGGGUAACCAUAUUGGGGAGUAGGAUCAUUGUAUUAAGACAUCUAGAUGUCAAACGCUUUUAGGGCUGUGCCUUCCCCAGACCCUA
rnacentral:sRNA from 1 species